UACGUAGGGUGCAAGCGUUUGUCCGGAAUUAUUGGGCGUAAAGAGCUCGUAGGCGGUCUGUCGCGUCUGCUGUGAAAAUCAGGGCUCAACCCUGGACCUGCAGUGGGUACGGGCAGACUAGAGUGCGGUAGGGGAGAUCGGAAUUCCUGGUGUAGCGGUGAAAUGCGCAGGAUAUCAGGAGGAACACCGGUGGCGAAGGCGGUUCUCGUGGGCAUUGACCUGACGCUGAGGAGCGAAAGUGUGGGGAGCGAACAGGA
rnacentral:rRNA from 1 species